AACUGCCGCAUAAUUCCGCCUUCCCGAGCUACAGUGCUUCAUCUCAGACUCACAACUGACCAGAGAUGCAGCACUGCACCUUGGGCUGGGAGACACUGGUCAACAGG
rnacentral:miRNA from 1 species